AUACGGAGGGUGCGAGCGUUAAUCGGAAUUACUGGGCGUAAAGCGCGCGUAGGCGGUCUGUUAAGUCGGGUGUGAAAGCCCCGGGCCCAACCUGGGAAUGGCAUCCGAUACUGGCAGGCUCGAGUCUGGUAGAGGGAAGUGGAAUUCCGCAUGUAGCGGUGAAAUGCGUAGAUAUGCGGAGGAACACCAGUGGCGAAGGCGGCUUCCUGGACCAAGACUGACGCUGAGGUGCGAAAGCGUGGGGAGCAAACAGGAUUAGAUACCCUAGUAGUCC
rnacentral:rRNA from 1 species